rnacentral:miRNA from 14 species
GGAUUGUGUGAAGGUGUGUGUGCAUGUAUAUGUAUUUAUAUUUGUAUAUAUCUAUUAAUAAAUUCAUAUAUAUUAAUAUAUCUAUAUACA